UUAUAUAAAAUAGAGUUGGAUCUCUCCUGCUGACACAUCAGCUGCCACAUCACUAAUUCAAGCUUUUACAGACUGACACGUGUCCGGUUGCUUGAAACGCAACACUUCAUUAACUCUGUAAUCUUUGGGCUUUUGUCAUCCUUCUGUAUAUUUGAAGGUUUUUGGAUUGCCAAUAUAGAUUUUUUUUUUCUGGAAGCCCAGUAACUUAUUGUCGUCGUAUUCUUCUCUUUUACAGAAUAGUUAGGGUUGCCGCCGUUGCUUCAAUUCGACAAUGGAGCAUCUUCUUUGGUGGUGUUUGUCUUCUGCAUGGAUUCGCUUGCAAUUCUUCCCAUCCUCUUCUGAGAACACGAACUGUUACAUAACUCGGCUGCAUACAUUCAUUAUCAUUAAAGUUACAAUUAACUCCAUCUACCCCAUUCAUUCCACAAUUUGACAAUCAAUACGUCCCCCUACCUUCCAGUCGGUGAAUCUACAGAUAAAUUAUAGCAGGGGGAUUAACUGCGGGGACCAACCAAGAUCCUUUUUGUAUCUCUUAUGCCAAUGCUUCCAAGACGGGUUCAUUCAUCAUGUACCAAUCGAUCUCAACAUUAGUAGAGAACUUCCACAAAACAAUAUAUAUGAUGAGGCAUCAGAUGUGUUUAUUGAAUUUAAGCUACUUGCUUCAGAUUCUACGUUGAGAUCCGUACGGAGCUUAGACAAAUACGGUGAAGGAAUGGAAUCGAUGAGCUGGGAUCCUGAGGCUUAGCGCAGGGGUCUUUCUGAUGAUCAGGGACUGAUGAGUCUCUAUGGGAGGAUCUCAGCAUUUUAAGGCUUUUAAAGUGUCAGUGAUUCACACUCAACUCACUUUCUCAAGAACAAUUAAUCUCGAGGAAGCUGCUCAUUUCUGUAAAGCAUGAAAUGUUAAACGUGGUGAGAGUAUAGUAUUUUCUGGGGAUUUGCCGUGGAGUCUGCCGUGGUCGUGUUACUGACGUUGUAACUCUGAAUCAGCCUACAAGCAAGAAACUUGGCAUGAAUACAUUCUUUCUAUAGUUUUCUGACUUUUACGUAUCUACCUUUCAACAUUUUUUCAAUUGUAAUGUUUUCCAAUUGGGUUAAGAGCGUAAGAAUCAUAAUAUUACGACUGGGUUGAUAACUCUUCUAUUUUCUUCUAUUAUAUGUUUAAAUUGCAUGAUUCAGUGAGAAAUUAUGAUUUUUGGUUUUGAUUCAUAAA